rnacentral:rRNA from 1 species
UACGAAGGGGGCUUAGCGUUGUUCGGAAUUACUGGGCGUAAAGCGCGCGCAGGCGGCUAUCCAAGUCAGUGGUGAAAGCCCGGAGCUCAACUCCGGAACUGCCAUUGAAACUGUUUAGCUUGAGGACGAGAGAGGUGAGUGGAAUUCCCAGUGUAGAGGUGAAAUUCGUAGAUAUUGGGAAGAACACCGGUGGCGAAGGCGGCUCACUGGCUCGUAUCUGACGCUCAGGCGCGACAGCGUGGGGAUCGAAACAGG